rnacentral:misc_RNA from 1 species
UACGUAGGGUGCGAGCGUUGUUCGGAAUUACUGGGCGUAAAGCGCGCGCAGGCGGUCCUUCAAGUCAGAGGUGAAAGCCCAGAGCUCAACUCUGGAACGGCCUUUGAGACUAGAGGACUUGGGUACGGGAGAGGUGAGUGGAAUUCCGAGUGUAGAGGUGAAAUUCGUAGAUAUUCGGAAGAACACCAGUGGCGAAGGCGGCUCACUGGCCCGUUACCGACGCUCAGGCGCGACAGCGUGGGGAGCAAACAGG